rnacentral:rRNA from 1 species
CGCGUUUAAAUCUUUUUAUAAAAGAACGUAACUUCAUGUUAACGUUUGACUUAUAAAAUGGUGGAAACAUAGAUUAAGUUAUUAAGGGCGCACGGUGGAUGCCUUGGCACUAGAAGCCGAUGAAGGACGUUACUAACGACGAUAUGCUUUGGGGAGCUGUAAGUAAGCUUUGAUCCAGAGAUUUCCGAAUGGGGAAACCCAGCAUGAGUUAUGUCAUGUUAUCGAUAUGUGAAUACAUAGCAUAUCAGAAGGCACACCCGGAGAACUGAAACAUCUUAGUACCCGGAGGAAGAGAAGAAAAUUCGAUUCCCUUAGUAGCGGCGAGCGAAACGGGAAGAGCCCAAACCAACAAGCUUGCUUGUUGGGGUUGUAGGACACUCUAUACGGAGUUACAAAGGACGACAUUAGACGAAUCAUCUGGAAAGAUGAAUCAAAGAAGGUAAUAAUCCUGUAGUCGAAAAUGUUGUCUCUCUUGAGUGGAUCCUGAGUACGACGGAGCACGUGAAAUUCCGUCGGAAUCUGGGAGGACCAUCUCCUAAGGCUAAUACUCUCUAGUGACCGAUAGUGAACCAGUACCGUGAGGGAAGGUGAAAAGCACCCCGGAAGGGGAGUGAAAUAGAACCUGAACCGUGUGCUUACAAGUAGUCAGAGCCGUUAAUGGGUGAUGGCGUGCCUUUUGUAGAAUGAACGGCGAGUUACGAUUUGAUGCAAGGUUAAGCAGUAAAUGUGGAGCCGUAGCGAAAGCGAGUCUGAAUAGGGCGUUUAGUAUUUGGUCGUAGACCCGAAACCAGGUGAUCUACCCUUGGUCAGGUUGAAGUUCAGGUAACACUGAAUGGAGGACCGAACCGACUUACGUUGAAAAGUGAGCGGAUGAACUGAGGGUAGCGGAAAAUUCCAAUCGAACCUGGAGAUAGCUGGUUCUCUCCGAAAUAGCUUUAGGGCUAGCCUCAAGUGAUGAUUAUUGGAGGUAGAGCACUGUUUGGACGAGGGGCCCUCUCGGUUACCGAAUUCAGACAAACUCCGAAUGCCAAUUAAUUUAACUUGGGAGUCAGAACAUGGGUGAUAAGGUCCGUGUUCGAAAGGGAAACAGCCCAGACCACCAGCUAAGGUCCCAAAAUAUAUGUUAAGUGGAAAAGGAUGUGGCGUUGCCCAGACAACUAGGAUGUUGGCUUAGAAGCAGCCAUCAUUUAAAGAGUGCGUAAUAGCUCACUAGUCGAGUGACACUGCGCCGAAAAUGUACCGGGCUAAACAUAUUACCGAAGCUGUGGAUUGUCCUUUGGACAAAUGGUAGGAGCGUUCUAAGGGCGUUGA